CUCUGGCUGCGUCUGAGGGCCUUAGCUCUGGCCAGGGGCGCUGCAACGGGCUCAGCCUUCUAGGGGUGGCGGGUGAAGGCCUACACCUGCCCCAGGACGGCCAGGUCCACCAGCACCUGCAACAGACGGAGAACUGAAGGAGCAUCUUGAAGCUGUGGCUGUCUUGAAGGUGUCGCCGCUUGUCCUCACGAGCACCAUUUUGAUUCUCGUGCCCUGUGUGCAUGGGUGGCCAGCGUUGCUGGUAGGGCUCCUGCACGCUCAGAGUGGCCUUGGCCAGGAAGUCCAGGGUUUCCGCAGGCAGAGUGUAUGAACAAGGUACUGAGAAGAUCACAUACUGCAUGUCCUCCUAAAACCUGGUCCUGGCAUAACCUUCUAAGCUGUUUUAUUCAGGUUUGGCAGAUACAUCAAGCCAGUUCAUUAAUGCACAGAUGAUUCCUUCACAUUAAGAAAGACACGUUGGAGCACCAUAAAUGUCAAGGCAGUUAUUACACACAAAAAGCAUAAAAUGGCAACCAUCAAAAGAUUCAUAGCCAAAAGGGACUUGCCUUAUCUCAGUUGAGGCUUUGGACUUGGAACUUUGAGUCAAAUCAUUUCUUCUGAAGAGGCAAGAAUUGAGGUUGCUGCAGACUUGUAUGACUUUGCCACCGGUAACUUGGAUACCUUCCACCAGUAACAUUUAAGGCACAUAACUGGGUAUUCAUAGUACUCGGGGGCCUUGCCAUUGUGUGAUUAAGACCACAGACUGUGAUGCUGCACUGCCCAUCUACCACACUGAAAAGCUGUCUGGACUUCUGCAAGUUUCUUAACCUCUCUGUACCUCAGACUCCUCAUCUGUACAAAAAAAGAAAUUAUAUAUGUAUAUAUAUACAGUGGUCACCUCACAGGAUUUUUUUGAAGAAUAAAAAAUUUUAAAUAAAUAAAACACUUAAUACA
rnacentral:lncRNA from 1 species